UACGGAGGGUGCAAGCGUUAUCCGGAUUCACUGGGUUUAAAAGGGUGCGUAGGUGGGCAGGUAAGUCAGUGGUGAAAUCUCCGGGCUUAACCCGGAAACUGCCAUUGAUACUAUCUGUCUUGAAUGACCGUGGAGGUGAGCGGAAUAUGUCAUGUAGCGGUGAAAUGCUUAGAUAUGACAUAGAACACCAAUUGCGAAGGCAGCUCACUACGCGAAUAUUGACACUGAGGCACGAAAGCGUGGGGAUCAAACAGG
rnacentral:rRNA from 1 species